rnacentral:tRNA from 1 species
GCCCCAGUGGCGCAAUGGAUAGCGCGUUCGGGACUUCUAAUCCGGAGGUUGAGGGUUCGAGUCCUUCCUGGGGUA